rnacentral:rRNA from 1 species
AUGCGCGAGAUCUUCAAGCGCGUGCCCCCGGACGACUCCAGGAGCCUCGUCCGCGCCGCCGUCGUCUGCACGAGCUGGCACGACAUCCUCUCCGACGCUGACUUCGCCCGCGAGUACCGCGCCUUCUACGGGGCGCCGCCCGUGCUGGGCUUCCUCCACAACACGCGCCACAAGAGGUCGUGGGAAAAGGGGAGAAUCAGACACUACAGAAAGGAGUACGUGGUCUCCAACUUCGUCUCCACCGCGUCCUUCCGCACGCCGGCGUGCCGCGAGCGCCGCCACUGGCGCGUUCUCGACUCCCGCCACGGCCUCGUCCUCUUCCACACCCCUAAAAGUGACUGA